ensembl:lncRNA
CUGGUUUCUGUGGAUGGGGAAUUCACAUGGGCUACAGCAGGCCCUCUAAUCUUCUACGUUCGGAGUCUCAGGUGGAGGAUGAGCAGGCUUGGGGUUAGAAUCACCUGAAGACUCCUUCCCUCCUGGGCGGGCCUAGCUGGAUGUGCAGCCUGCAAUACCCCUCACAACCCUCCACCCUCUCUCUGGUUCCGGGGGUGCAUCGAGGAGAUGCCACCCACAAAAUGAAAUGUGUGGGAGUUAUUAUUUCGGAGAACCUGGGUUAGGUGAUUAUUUAAAUGUUUUGGUCAGGAUUUCUGAAGAAAAUACAGAGUAAGUUCAAACUAGGUAAAAGGAUUAUUUUUAAAAGCAUGGGGAGAGUUUAAGAAAAACCAAAAAUAAGGGAUUAUGUAGAACUCCAGAAGUAGCAACAGGAGAGAGCCAUUACCUGUCCCAGGAUUGAAGGGACCCUGAGGCUAUUUGAAGAGAGUGUCUGUGGCCUUUAGGGAGGGAGGCAGAUAACCAAGGAUGAGCUGGGGGAGUAGGAGGAGAGUGACUAAACCCUGUCACCUCAUUGUCCUCCUGCCCUCUGAUCCCCAUGUCUAACGCCCCUGAAGGCCGUAUGGCCAGACCAGUCUCCCAGGAUCUGGAGUAGGGUGAUGGUGAGAUGGUGGAGAAUGGGUCUGGACAGGCAAACAGAAGGUAUCCAACACACCAAGAUAUCACCAGGGUCCGGCUGGGGGAGGGAGGAGUGUGUUUUGGUGAGUCACCAGUUGUCCCUUAUAGAGCUUCAGGUGAAUGCUGCUGGAGUCUGUGAGGCCUCCAUUAACAGACUUUCUAUUAUAUUUUAUCUUAUGAAAUUCCCAUUUUUGUAGGUAAAAUAAACUGGAAAAAUAGGCAAUUGCAUGUAGUUCAACUUAAUAUUCUGGGUACUUUCCAAUAAAGCUGCUAUUAGAUAACUGUUCAUAUUAGAUCACUAAAAAUGUGGCUCCUCAUUGUUUUAUUGUUGAGUAUUUUCUGUAUUAGAACUGCCUAAAAUACUUAAGUGGAAUGGGUAUUCUAAUUGGCCCACAAUAAACACCAGCCAAGGGAUGCUGGCAUCCUCUAGAAGACAGAAGAGGUAAGGAAGGGAUUCUCUUCCAAAAGGAACCAGCUCUGCAGAAACGUUCAUUUCAGUCCUAUACGAUUUUAUUCAGACCUCUGAUCUCCAGAACUGUAAAAGAAUAAAUUUGUGUUGUUUUAAGCCAAAUUUGUGAUAACUUAUAAAAGCAGCCAUAGGAAACUAAUAAUUGUGGUUUCCCUAGUUAUGUGAGUAUAGAGUGAGGAGGUAUGCAUGAGGAUAGAGUCCUUUCGACACCAUGUUGUUACUCCUUACAAACUCAGAUGCGAAAUUUGCACGAAGAGGAUAGCAGCCUCAGAAAGAUUGGGACCAAAACACGCACCCAGAAAUUUGGGGUUAGAGUGAUCUGUCAGGGUAGACUCGGAUGGUUCCCAGCAAGACACGGUAACAGAGAAGGCCAAUGGGAUGCCUGGGAAUACAGUGUCCUUAGAAAAGCGAGGAGGUCUUGGCUGAUCCAGGCUCGACAUAAGAUCCCAAGUGUUGUUGGGGGCACGACUGAUCUGGCACAGCUGAUGAUGUAUGUUACAAGGCCCUCAGGACCCAGCUGCCCAGAGAUGGUGUUUUUAGGGAAUAAUGGCUGAGCAAGACAUUGUGGACAAAUAAUGAGAGCUCUACUCCAGGAAUCCAAGCAGGAGGCGUCCCUGAAGCCAGAGCACCGGCUUGGACCAGCUCAGCAAGGGUUAACAAGGACCUGAGGAACUCUGGGGACCAGGUUUCCGCAGUGGCUCUGUGUGGCAGUGAGAAACACUGGUAGCAGUGGGCCAACUGGACUUCAGUCGUCUCUCCACUGGGCCUCUCAGCAAGGAUUGACCGGAUUGGCACUGAGUGAUCCCUGGAGGUUGCUGACUUUAUUCAAGUGUCUUCCCCUUCCUCACACCUCGAAUGGGCCUCAGGAGAACCAGACCUCACUCACUACCUGCUCCACGGGUGGCUCUGGUGCAUCCAAGGCUAACUCCAUCCCUAACGCAACUGACAGGAGAGGACGUGUGACCCAAAUAAUGUGAGGAGAGGUUUCCAAGGGGCAUCUGAGAACGACUCAUCAUCCCAGUGAGAGAUCCUCAGAGUUACCCUCUCUCCAGAUGUUGCAUGAUUGUUCUGCAACUACUUUGCUAUUACCCUGAAGAUGAAGGUUCUAUUUAGAGUGGGGCAAAGAACUCUAGCAGGUGACAGGACUGUCACCUCUAAGGCCCCUCCUCCUUCUCUUCUAAUUAAUUGAGCCAACAAAUAUCUGAUUGUUUAAGCUAGUUUGAGUUGGGUUUUCUGCCAUUUGCAGCUGAAAAUAUUCUAACCUAUACACUACAACAUUUUAUUCUGUAAAUAUAAUUCUGAUGUAGAGUCAAUAAAACGAAUAAAAAAGACAGUCCUGCUCAUGGUAUCAAAAUGAU